AGCGCGAAAAGGGCAACCUGAGUAGAGCGGCGCACGGGUGCGUAACACGUGGGUAAUCUGCCUCAAAGUUUGGGAUAACCAUAUCCGAAAGGUUGGCUAAUACCGGAUAAGCUCCCGGGGUCUUCGGACUCUGUGGGAAAAGGUGGCCUCUAUUUAUAAGCCAUCACUUUGAGAUGAGCCCGCGGCCCAUCAGCUAGUUGGCGGGGUAACGGCCCACCAAGGCUACGACGGGUAGCUGGUCUGAGAGGACGAUCAGCCACACUGGAACUGAGACACGGUCCAGACUCCUACGGGAGGCAGCAGUGGGGAAUUUUGCACAAUGGGCGAAAGCCUGAUGCAGCAACGCCGCGUGUGUGAUGAAGGUCUUCGGAUCGUAAAGCACUUUCGACCGGGACGAACAACCUCUGGCUAACAGUCAGGGGCCUGACGGUACCGGGAGAAGAAGCACCGGCUAACUCUGUGCCAGCAGCCGCGGUAAUACAGA
rnacentral:rRNA from 1 species